AGUUUGAUCCUGGCUCAGGAUGAACGCUGGCGGCGUGCUUAACACAUGCAAGUCGAACGAAGCAUAUAAGGCGGAAUUCUUCGGGAGGAAGCCAUAUAUGACUUAGUGGCGGACGGGUGAGUAACGCGUGAGUAACCUGCCUUACACAGGGGGACAACAGCUGGAAACGGCUGCUAAUACCGCAUAAGCGCACAGGACCGCAUGGUACGGUGUGAAAAGAUUUAUCGGUGUAAGAUGGACUCGCGUCUGAUUAGUUAGUUGGCGGGGUAACGGCCCACCAAGACAACGAUCAGUAGCCGACUUGAGAGAGUGAUCGGCCACAUUGGGACUGAGACACGGCCCAAACUCCUACGGGAGGCAGCAGUGGGGAAUAUUGCACAAUGGGGGAAACCCUGAUGCAGCGACGCCGCGUGAGCGAAGAAGUAUUUCGGUAUGUAAAGCUCUAUCAGCAAGGAAGAUAAUGACGGUACUUGACUAAGAAGCUCCGGCUAAAUACGUGCCAGCAGCCGCGGUAAUACGUAUGGAGCAAGCGUUAUCCGGAUUUACUGGGUGUAAAGGGAGCGUAGACGGCGUGGCAAGUCUGAUGUGAAAGCCCGGGGCUCAACCCCGGAACUGCAUUGGAAACUGUCGUGCUGGAGUGCAGGAGAGGUAAGCGGAAUUCCUAGUGUAGCGGUGAAAUGCGUAGAUAUUAGGAGGAACACCAGUGGCGAAGGCGGCUUACUGGACUGUAACUGACGUUGAGGCUCGAAAGCGUGGGGAGCAAACAGGAUUAGAUACCCUGGUAGUCCACGCCGUAAAC
rnacentral:rRNA from 1 species